rnacentral:tRNA from 112 species
GCCUUCGUAGCUCAGGGGAUAGAGCACCGCUCUCCUAAAGCGGGUGUCGCAGGUUCGAAUCCUGCCGGGGGCAC